GACGAACGCUGGCGGCGCGCCUAACACAUGCAAGUCGAACGGAGAUCAUUUGGUAGAAGUUUUCGGAUGGACACCGGGUGAUCUUAGUGGCGAACGGGUGAGUAACGCGUGAGCAAUCUGCCUCAGAGUGGGGGACAACAGUUGGAAACGACUGCUAAUACCGCAUAAGCCCACAGCACCGCAUGGUGCAGGGGGAAAAGAUUUAUUGCUUUGAGAUGAGCUCGCGUCCAAUUAGCUGGUUGGUGAGGUAACGGCCCACCAAGGCGACGAUUGGUAGCCGGACUGAGAGGUUGAACGGCCACAUUGGGACUGAGAUACGGCCCAGACUCCUACGGGAGGCAGCAGUGGGGAAUAUUGCACAAUGGGGGGAACCCUGAUGCAGCGACGCCGCGUGGAGGAAGAAGGUCUUCGGAUUGUAAACUCCUGUUGUUAGGGACGAUAAUGACGGUACCUAACAAGGAAGCACCGGCUAACUACGUGCCAGCAGCCGCGGU
rnacentral:rRNA from 1 species